CGGGCCCUUAUGCCUGUGGUGUGGCACGACUUGCAAUACAAUAAUGGAACCGCUGAAAAAACGCAAGAAUCGCGGACAUUACAAGAAAUACUCCAAUCCUGGUGCCAAGUUCUUCGUGCCUAGGUCUACAGAUUCAUCGGCGCGGCUCCGAAUGGCAGAUGCAGAAGCGAAAUUUCAGCCGGACAGCGUUUCCUGCAAUCUUAACCUGGAUGACAGCAUAACGACGCGCCAAGAAUGCAGCGCCGAGGCGUCGGCUGCGCCAGUCGGCACACAUUGCAUGGAAUCCCAAGGAGAUCGUGCAACGUAUGCUAUAAAUCUUGGAUUCUCGAGCACUAAUGUGCGCGAACGUGACCUUCACGGAAAUAUCGACUUGGUAGGGCAUAACCAAGAUGCACAAGACCAAGCUUCUGAAAAAAGAGGACUUCAGCCAGCCGGACGCACAACACGAAGAUUCUGGACAAGAGGAGGAUUUCAGUGAGCCAGAUGCUCAAGACAAGGAAUCUGGACAAGAGGAGGACUUGAUGCAGCCAUAUGCACAAGAUGAAGUCUCAGAACUAGAAGUUCCUUUUUUUUCGGAUUCUACCUGCGGAGUGCUAAGUGAACUGUUUGGUGAAAUUGUCAAAGACAAAGUUGCAGUCUCAAAAGGUGAUAUUCUGCUCGUGGUGUUAAAAUAUGCUGUCCAGCACAGCUUGACAUUUUCAGCACUUAUGGAUUUGAUUGAAAUGAUUAACUUGUUUUUUGAAAGACCAGUUCUUGCCCAUUCUCAGCACAUGCUU